GCCAGGCACAGUGGCUCACACCCGUAAUCCCAGCAUUUUGGGAGGCCAAGGUGGGAGGAUCACUUAAGACCAGGGGUUUAAGAACAGCCUCGGCAACAUACUAGGACCCCAUCUC